CAGUGACGCACCAGGAAGAGUUUCCCACGCGGGGCGAUUUGUUAGUGUUUCAGCAAAAUGCCGACGUGUUAACCUGUAAAUCUGUAAAGGCGUGUUGAUGAUGUCAUCAGCAGAUGGCCAACUGUGUCUGAACAUCAGCAGCAGUUUGCCCUCGUCUCUGUCUUCCAGGAGGAAACCUCUGAGUUCUGAGCAGAGAUGGACCAGAAAGAAGCAGCGAGCAGAGAAGAGGAGGUUCAGCUCCUCCUCAGAGGAGAGGAGGCGCU